UAUUUUCCAAGAUCUUAGUACAAUAUAUUUAGGUCAAAAAUAUUGUUCAUUUUUCAAGAACAUAGUACAACAUAUUUAACAUUUAAUAUUCAACAUGGAGUGAAAAGAAAAGUCAAGUGUCAAGAUAAUAAUGACAACUGAGCUGAAAAAAAGGCAAGCGUCAAUAUAAUAAUGACAAUUGAACUGAAUUCACAGCAGCUGAAAUGGAGA